rnacentral:rRNA from 1 species
UACAGAGGUCUCGAGCGUUGUUCGGAUUCAUUGGGCGUAAAGGGUGCGUAGGUGGCUAGGUAAGUCGGAUGUGAAAACCUGGGGCUCAACCGCAGGCGUGCACCCGAUACUCCCGGGCUGGAGGCAGGUAGGGGAGAUCGGAAUUCCUGGUGUAGCGGUGAAAUGCGCAGAUAUCAGGAGGAACACCGGUGGCGAAGGCGGAUCUCUGGGCCGUGACUGACGCUGAGGAGCGAAAGCGUGGGGAGCAAACAGG